UACGUAGGUGGCAAGCGUUAUCCGGAUUUAUUGGGUGUAAAGGGCGUGUAGGCGGGAAUGCAAGUCAGAUGUGAAAACUAUGGGCUCAACCCAUAGCCUGCAUUUGAAACUGUAUUUCUUGAGUGCUGGAGAGGCAAUCGGAAUUCCGUGUGUAGCGGUGAAAUGCGUAGAUAUACGGAGGAACACCAGUGGCGAAGGCGGAUUGCUGGACAGUAACUGACGCUGAGGCGCGAAAGCGUGGGGAGCAA
rnacentral:rRNA from 1 species